CCUACGGGAGGCAGCAGUGAGGAAUAUUGGUCAAUGGGCGCGAGCCUAAACCAGCCAAGUCGCGUGAGGGAAGACGGUCCUAUGGAUUGUAAACCUCUUUUGUCGGGGAGCAAAAGACGCCACGCGUCGCGUUCCGAGAGUACACGAAGAAACAGCAUCGGCAAACACCGUGCCAGCAGCCGCGGUAAUACGGAGGAUGCGAGGGUUAUCCGGAUUUAUUAGGGUAAAGGGGUGCGCAGUGGGAAGAUAAAGUCAGCGGGAAAAUUCGGAGGCUCAACCUCUUCGAGCCGUUGAAACUGGUUUGCUUGAGUGAGCGAGAAGUAAGCGGAAUGCGUGGUGUAGCGGUGAAAUGCAUAGAUAUCACGAAGAACUCCGAUUGCGAAGGCAGCAUACCGGCGCUCAACUGACGCUGAGGCACGAAGGUGUGGGUAUCGAACAGGAUUAGAUACCCGAGUAGUC
rnacentral:rRNA from 1 species